GAUAAUGAUUCAGAAGAUAGUAAGUAUUUUUCAUUAAUCUCUAAAAUAUUGGUUUUUAAAAUAUUGCAAGAAUUUAUUACCUAUUUUUUUUUUAUGAGGGUUGCAUAGCUGUGUCUUCCUCGAAAAACUUUGUAUUCAGGAUUGCCCAACUCUUGUUUCAUUUCCAGAGAUCAGUUUCUUUCCCAAUCUAAGUGAACUUGAGAUUAAAAAGUGCUGUAUGCUAACUUCCUUACCAGAAGGAAUGAAGCAUGGCAAUACAGGUCUUGAAAUUUUGUGGAUUGAAGAAUGCCAUUCUCUGACAUUCAUUGUAAAAGGUCAGCUACCUCCAUCUCUGAAACGACUUUCAGCAUUAAAUUGCGAGAAGUUGCAGAUUUUGUUUGAUGAUACAGAGGAUAUUUCUCCUCACUCAUCUUCAAUGACGCAAAAUGCGUUCAUUAACAACACCGGGACAUCUGCACUUGGCCGCUUGUAUAUUGACAAAUGUUCAUCUCUCACGGCUUUAUCUUUAAAAGGACAGCUACCUGUUUCACUUGCACAUCUUGAAAUUUAUGAUUGCUUAAAGCUGGCAUCAAUAGCAGAGAGAUUUGUCAACAACAUAUCUCUCAGAUAUAUAUGUGUCGAGAGAUGUGAAAUACUUAGUUCCUUGCCUCAGGGUCUAUGCAAUCUUAAUGGUCUUCGUGACUUUGAACUUCAGGACUGUCCAAACCUUGUUUGCUUCCCUGAAGGAGGGCUUCCCAACACCAUUUUAUCCGUUAGAAUCGUCAGAUGUGAGAAACUUAGAGAGCUUCCUGAAGGCAUUCACAAUCUCAACUGUCUCCAAUUUUUAUCAAUAACGCUAUGUCCGAGUAUCAAAUCAUUUCCAGUAGAAGGUUUUCCUGGCAACCUAGGAAUACUUUGUGUUUGUGAUAAUCUUGAAAUCUAUAAGACUUUGAAGGAGUGGGGAAUUCACAAGCUCACCUGCCUUACAAUGUUGUCUAUAGGUGGAUGUCCUGAUGUUGUAUCUUUUCCAGAAGAUGAGAUGGGAAUGAUGCUGCCAACCUCUUUAAUUGUCCUAUCCGUUGCAAAAUUUCCAAACUUGAAAUACUUAUCUUCUAGGGGUUUUCAAGACUUAGCUUCUCUUAAAACUUUGAUUAUCAAUGAUUGCCCACAGCUGUCAUCUGUUCCAGAGGGCCUAACAUCCCCAAUUUUGCAAUUACACAUUCUUGAUUGUCCUCUUCUGAAAAAACAAUGCACGAGGGAUAAAGGACGAGAAUGGCCUAAAAUAGCUGACAUCCCAGAAGUCACAUUAGAUUUCAAAUUCAUCUACGAUUCGGAGGAGGAAGAGGAUAUAUCAAGGAAAUUUAUAAUAAGAACUUUAUGAGGCAGUGAUACGCGGAUUGUUAGUCGAAGAUUGUUUGACUGAUCAACAAAGGUGAGUUUUCGAAAUGUCAACAACAUGUUUACACAAAAGCUGAUGGAUACACGAUAAAAAGCUGGUUGUAUAGUACGAGAGAAGAUGACAUGAUAGCCAGCAAAAUCUGUCUAAAUAUCAGGAAAACUUGUGCUACUUGAACUGGGCAAUUUUUGGGUUUCACAAGCAAUCAGCAGAUGGUCAGCAGUUUGGAACUUAUAGUCAAGUUCUCACUAAUGAAUGGCCUAGUGGGGUCACAAACAGAGCUGCCACAUCUGACAUACCCACUGGAAUCUCAGAUUCACUUGGCAGUGAUGUUACUGUAUCAGAGUUGGUGGCAGAGAUCAAGCCAGGGUAUGUGAUAUUUGUAGAUUAUUGCUUGGCAAUCAAUGUGCAUGACAAUAGUAAUGGUCCUCUAUGUUUACCAUUUGUGUUUUGAUGGCUGAUUCUUUACUCACCAAAAUCAUCAAAGAGGCUAUAAAGUUACAAAGGUUUAUGGUUGAUGAUGCAUCUUUUCUCUCAAUGAUGAUAUUGUGCUUUGCCUAAAGGCCCACUUGUUCAAGAUCAUGCGUUGAUAAUGCCUUUUGAGCACUCACCUAAUACCAUUUCUCUUUCCCAGAUAGCAAAAUUGAGCUUGGCAAAUUCCAAAGCAGUCUCAAGCUGUAUUAUAAAAAAAAAGGAGAGGAAACUGUUUUUUUAAAUGGGUUUCCAAACGUGGUACUCAUGCUAAUCUUCAGCUGAUAUUAUAUGUCAGUGGGGCAUUAAGGCCGUACCUAUUCCAUCAUCCAAGGCAACUGCUGUCCAAGUGAUAUUUAAGUUGGCUGCUGAAAAGUUGGGUUUUAAAUUUUUUGGCUAAAAAUCCAAUAAUAUCUCUGAUGGGAGAAAAUCAUUGAGGACGCAGUUCAAUAAAAACUUUAAUUUCUUUUAUACGGAACUCCCUGGAGGUACAAUUCUGUCACAUGUAGUAGAAGAGAAUGAAAGAUUCCCUGCCCAAUUUGGACGUGAGGUAGUCUACGUAGAUAUUGUUAGGUUCAGCGUAUAUGUAAGGAAGAAGAAAAGAGGAAGAGCAGGGAGAAAAAUAGCAGGAGAGACAAGUGUUAACAUCCUGGAAUCUGCAGGCGUCCAACAGCUAGCAUUUAAGAAGUGUGCAUCUCUGUUAUAGGAAAAGUUCUAUAAAUAGAUUGCACUCUGCAAUUUUUUCUUUCGAUGAAAGAAGUAGAUGCAUUUUUAAUUUUUGUUGUUUUUUAUAAGAAAGUUAGAGUCUUUUCAGUAUAUAUCAUGAGAUAACUGAUUUUACUGGACUGUCA